rnacentral:rRNA from 1 species
GUCAAGUCAUCAUGACCCUUAUGACCAGGGCUACACACGUGCUACAAUGGCCAGUACAAAGGGUCGCCAACCCGCGAGGGGGAGCCAAUCCCAUAAAGCUGGUCGUAGUCCGGAUCGCAGUCUGCAACUCGACUGCGUGAAGUCGGAGUCGCUAGUAAUCGCAGAUCAGCAAUGCUGCGGUGAAUACGUUCCCGGGCCUU